GGGCCUGUGGUCCCAACCUUCUGGAGUCUUAACACCAGGCGAAGUUUGGGGCCGCUAGGAGCCCCUGGGAGGGGUUCUAAUAGGCCCACAGCUUCUCUACACCCAGGGGACACAGAGGAGGAAGAAAUUUUGAUCUGAUCAGAAUAUUAACCCACCUCUUUUUCCACCUUGCCGUAGAACCCCUGGAUUGCGUUACUUAUUCGCCUCUCGAGAUCUUCAGCUCCUGGAGGGUAGGAUCUGAUUUUGAUCCAGGUGAUGGAACUAAAACUCAGAAAGAUUAAGUAACCUCUGCAAGGUCGCAAAGAUAAUAGGUGGUGGAUCUAGAAUUAAAACCUGCCUGCCUGAUUUAUCCAAGGACGGCCUCUGCUGAGCCAGGUGGGGAAAGGCAGUGAUGCACAAGAAUGACGUCAUCCCUGCUCUCCUCUGUGCAGCGAUUU
rnacentral:lncRNA from 1 species